UUGGUUUUACGUUAAAAAUGUAUAAUGUAAAAAUCUGGACGAAUGCAGCUAAGGAGGUUCUAGUUUUUUUAUUUUCAAAGGUUUAAUAAUUGGGAAAUUUACCUGGUAGAUACGUCCGAAUCAUGUAAAUGUGUGUGUGUAAAUUAAUAUUUGUGUAUACGUGUAUAGAGGUACAGUUACAAGUUCUAUUAGAUUCAAUACAUAUUAUGUAUUAUUGAUUAUUGUUUGGCUUGCAUGGGUGCCUACAUAUAACUAUAUGAACGGUGAACAAUAUAAUAUUUAAUCAAUCUUGGUCAACUUGGCAAAUAUUCCAACUUUAAACUGCAGGCAUUUACAGUUCUAAACAGGUAUGGCCAAGAUUUGUACGGAUUUUAAAAUAUAAAAUUCCAUAUUUGUUGACUUUUAAAUUUUAAGUUUUUACGAAUUCCCCUCUCUGAACCAAAAUUAGUAAAAAAAAUGAACUAAAACAGUCUUUCUAAUUGAUAGUGAAAUGAACACAGAGAAGUCAAGUGUUCCAACCUUAUUUUUUAAGUCUCAAAUAUCAUUGUCUCUAUUGGUAUCUAAACACCUUUAUUUGUUUUUUUUUUGACCAAAUUAUAAAGACUUUGUUAUUGCCAUUUUGGUUAUGGAAUCUUAAUAAAUUGGAUCAUUU